rnacentral:rRNA from 1 species
UACGGGGGGGGCAAGCGUUGUUCGGAAUUACUGGGCGUAAAGGGCUCGUAGGUGGCCAACUAAGUCAUACGUGAAAUCCCUCGGCUUAACCGGGGAACUGCGUCUGAUACUGGAUGGCUUGAGUUUGGGAGAGGGAUGCGGAAUUCCAGGUGUAGCGGUGAAAUGCGUAGAUAUCUGGAGGAACACCGGUGGCGAAGGCGGCAUCCUGGACCAAUACUGACACUGAGGGGCGAAAGCCAGGGGAGCAAACGGG